rnacentral:lncRNA from 1 species
UCACAAUAAGUAAUGAAUCUAAACGAGUUGAAUGAAUGAACACAUGUAAAUUACAAACGAAUUACGAAUAGAUCAAAAUUUAAGAGUCCAUUUACAAAUGACUAACACUGUCAAUCGAAUAAUUAUAGCCAAAAGAAUCCCAAACAAAUAAGGCCGAAUCAAAUGGUUGUAAGAUAACAAUUUCAUACUGAGCUCAAAUACAAAUACAUCGGUACCAUGAUGUAUACAAAUCAAAUCGGAUAGUACGCACGACACAUACGUCAAUAAUCUGCCAAACAAAUCGAAUCAAAUCAAAUACUGGGUCGACCCAUACGUAUCCUGAACAAAUAUAUCAAAUGGCCAAAGCUCAUACUCCGAGCAUACAAAAGAAUACGCCGUGGACUGAUCACACCGCCAUGGAAGGUGUCAUGCCCUUGUGUCAAGAGGACAUGCCUGUGGUACCCCCACAGGUGGUUAGCUCAAAUAUACCCUAAUGAUCAAACUACAAAAUGUAAGCCAAAAGGGGUUCAAAUCACAAUGCUUACAUGGCCAUAUUCAAAUGAAAUCGAAUUAUCAAAUACAAACAUACCCAAUUGUUACAAGAUAUCAAUGAUCAAAACAACUCCGAAUGUGAACGAAAAUAUACGAACAAUAGUACAAACAAAUAGUCUCCAAAACAUAUUGACACGAUUAACUAGUUCAAAUAGUACAAAUACGAAUUUAAAUAUCAACGCCAAAACGAAACUAUCUCAAUAAUUUUGACAAGGAAUAAUCCCGAGAGGCAAUACCAAAUUUCUAAACGAGUACAAAACGAACGAAUUAAAUUUAAAGGAAUAUCGCUGAAAAAGUACGGAAUCCGUACCUUAAUGUAGUACCAAAUAAUUCGCCGAAUCCAACUAUCACCCGCUAAACUCCUCCAAUCCGAUCUAAUUAUCAAAAUAAAAUAUAAAGCAUAUAAUUAAAUUACGAACUCAUACAAAUUAUAUUUUCACAAAUUUAAUAAUUUUAAUAUACUAUAUUCAGUUUGUACUCAAAAGAUAUAUUUUAACUAUAAUAAUAAUAUUAUAAUAUUAUUUACUACUAUCCCCUUUUUAAAUUUUUGCAUAUCUUAUAUAUAU